UGGGGAAUUUUGGGCAAUGGGCGAAAGCCUGACCCAGCAACGCCGCGUGUGGGAUGAAGGCCCUCGGGUCGUAAACCACUGUCAGGAGGAAAGAAAAGUCGGCCGGAUAAUACUCGGUCGACCUGACGGUACCUCCAAAGGAAGCACCGGCUAACUCCGUGCCAGCAGCCGCGGUAAUACGGAGGGUGCAAGCGUUGUUCGGAAUUACUGGGCGUAAAGCGCGUGUAGGUGGUCGAGUAAGUCGAAUGUGAAAGCCCCGGGCUCAACCCGGGAAGUGCAUCCGAAACUGCUCGACUAGAGUCCCGGAGAGGAAGGCAGAAUUCCCAAUGUAGGGGUGAAAUCCGUAGAUAUUGGGAGGAAUACCGGUGGCGAAGGCGGCCUUCUGGACGGUGACUGACACUCAGACGCGAAAGCGUGGGGAGCAAACAGGAUUAGAUACCCCAGUAGUCCCUGAGCGGGCUGGCA
rnacentral:rRNA from 1 species